GGAAGAGUCACAGCCAGCUCUGCAAACAUGAAGGCAGUGGCGUGUGUUCACGCAGGGGAACCAUGCCUUGGAAAACAUUUCUUUUUCCAGGGUUUACAGGUGUGCUGGGCUACGCAGCUGGAUCUUCAAGAGAGCAAGCGGAACGUUGUCUUGGAGGACUGAACCAGAUCUGAGCUCGGAGGUCUGGGAAGAGAGAGGGGCAAAGAACCAGACAGAAGAGAGAGGGAGAGCAGAAGGUGCAGUGGUUGGGGUGUGACUUCCUCUCCACGAUCCAGGGAAGCACAGCCUACCCCAAGAGCUCCGCCACAGAGUGCCCACCUAAAGGCUUUCAAUGGCAUUUGUGAGCAUGUGCACAUGUGUACAUCUGGAACAAUACCCGACUUAUUUUGAGACAGGGUUUCCCAUUUGCCUGAGACGCCUCCAUUAGACUAGGCUGGCCGGCCAGCCCCAGGAGAGGCCAUCAGUGUGACUGGGGUGCAAGUGAGUUUGCAGCUGCCUCCUUCCAGCAUGUGUCACAGUAGUUGUCUUUUGUACCUGGCUUUCAGGUAUCAAACUCAGGCUCUUCUGCCUGCAAGGCAAACCCUUUACCUACUGAGCCAUCUCCCUAGUCCCAGGAGAUGUUCUGAUAAAUGAAUAAUAAUAAUAAAAAAAAAGAUGAACCAAGACAA